rnacentral:rRNA from 1 species
UACGUAGGUGGCAAGCGUUGUCCGGAAUUAUUGGGCGUAAAGCGCGCGCAGGCGGUCCUUUAAGUCUGGUGUGAAAGCCCACGGCUCAACCGUGGAAGGUCAUUGGAAACUGGAGGACUUGAGUACAGAAGAGGAAAGCGGAAUUCCACGUGUAGCGGUGAAAUGCGUAGAGAUGUGGAGGAACACCAGUGGCGAAGGCGGCUUUCUGGUCUGUAACUGACGCUGAGGCGCGAAAGCGUGGGGAGCAAACAGG